GCAGCAGCCGCGGGAAUACGUAGGUGGCAAGCGUUGUCCGGAAUUAUUGGGCGUAAAGGGCUCGCAGGCGGUUUCUUAAGUCUGAUGUGAAAGCCCCCGGCUCAACCGGGGAGGGUCAUUGGAAACUGGGAAACUUGAGUGCAGAAGAGGAGAGUGGAAUUCCACGUGUAGCGGUGAAAUGCGUAGAGAUGUGGAGGAACACCAGUGGCGAAGGCGACUCUCUGGUCUGUAACUGACGCUGAGGAGCGAAAGCGUGGGGAGCGAACAGGAUUAGAGACCCGAGUAGUCCCUGUCUCUUAUAC
rnacentral:rRNA from 1 species